GGGGCGGCAUGGCUCAGGAGGUCGAGCGGGCGGGCUAGGAAUCAGAGGGUUCCUGGUUCAAACCCCGGCUGCUCCA